rnacentral:tRNA from 8 species
GGGCCGCUAGCUCAUUUGGUAGAGCGCCGCGUUUGCAACGCGGAGGUGACCGGUUCGAGCCCGGUGCGGUCCACCA